UUUGUAGAUUUAUAUUUGGUAAUGCAGGCUAUUUUGGUCAAUUGAUUUUAAAUGCAAAUAAAAGAUGAAAUAAAGUUAUUAUUUUAUUUGCAUUUAAAAUCAAUUGACCAAAAUAGCCUGCACAAAUAGCCACAUAAAAAUCACAUAUAAAGCCGCAUUUUGCAAUUGAAUCGAUUGUAUUGUCAUCCCUCCAUACUCUAUUAGCGACAAACCAAGUGUAAGACGCUGGAAUCAAGCAUUGGUGUAUCUUCUAACAGUGGCUUCAAAGUCAGUAUCAAUUGCUCGUAAGAAUGCAGCAUUUAAGAUUCUCGAUUCAAUGCGCAAACACUCCCUGAAAUUGGUUGAACGAGCGAUGAUGUGCAGUGAGGAAUUGAUUCGGGUGGCCAUCCUCUGGCAUGAACAAUGGGCUGAGGGACUGGAAGAGGCUUCCCGUUUGUACUUUGGUGAAAGAAAUGUAAAAGGAAUGUUUGAGAUAUUGGAACCAUUGCACAAUAUGCUUAAUUGUGGGCCACAAACAUUGAAAAAGACUACAUUCAGUCAGGCCUAUGGACGUGAAUUAACCGAAGACUACGAAUGAAGCCAGAUACAUAAGACUUCUUCAAAUUGGAUGGAUUUGGCCCAUGCAUGUUACAUAUACUAUCAUGUAUUUCGAAAAAUAUCAAGGCAACUGCCUCAGUUGACUUCAUUGGAACUGCCUUAUGUUAGUCCAAAAUUGUUGGCCUGCAAGGACUUGGAAUUUGCUGUGCCAGGAAGUUAUUAUCCAGGUCAAGAACUGAUUCGCAUUAUUCACAUUAAGAGGAACCUCCAAGUGAUAACGUCGAAGCAACGAAGAUUUGCGGCAGGAUGAACGUGUAAUGCAGUUGUUUAGUCUAGUCAAUACGUUACUGUUGGACGAUCCUGAUACGUUCCGACGUAAUUUGACUAUUCAACGUUAUACCGUCAUUGUUGUUGCUCAAGAGUCCAUCGUUGGAGGUUGGGUUUGAGCGGCGUACUAACUACACUCGAUCCCUUGCUGUUAUGUCGAUGGUGGCUGAAAUAACGAAUUCCAAAGGUCGCGUUAUUGUUGGUCGUGUGAAACGUAAACUAACAGGAAUAGAUUUCCAAAAGAAAAAUGCAGUAACUAUUCAACAAGUUGACUUGCUUAUUCAACAGGCGACAUACAACGAGAAUCUUUGUCAGUGUUAUAUUGGCUGGUGUCCACUUUGGUAAACAAAAAAAAAAAAAAGAUAACAUUACAAACUAUUGGGAUAACUGCAGUUUUUUUUUUCUUUUUGCUUUUGAACCUUUAAUGGUUUUAUUAUUUCAUUUUUUUUUUUUUAAGAUUUAUAUAUAUUUUUCUUUUUAAUUUUUACUUUAACUUUUAUACCGAUUUCUUGUGUUUGAUUGGAAGAACACUUAACGCGCUCUAAUCUAUAAGUAAGAAAAAAUUUGUUUAU